UAAAGUUUUGGUCCUAAACUUACUGUUACUUUUUACCAAAAUUAUACAUGCAAGUAUCCGCACACCAGUGAAAAUGCCCAUAUAAAUAUUUGGAGCAGGUAUCAGGCACGAAAUCUUCAGCCCAAUACACCUUGCUAUGCCACACCCCCAAGGGUAUUCAGCAGUAAUAAAAAUUAAGCUAUGAGCGAUUACAAAUUUUAUUAAGCUAGACUUAGUUAUGGUCUUAGGACCGGUUAAUCUCGUGCCAGCCACCGCGGUUAUACGAGAGGUCCAAAAUAACAGACAACGGCGUAAAUGGUGAUUAAAAUCUUGUUAAAAAAUAAGAAAUAAACUAAAUUCUAACCGUAAAACUCAGACAAAAUGAAACCACUUUCUUAAAUUUUUAAACUAUUUGAUUCACGAAAGCUAAGAAACAAACUAGGAUUAGAUACCCUAUUAUGCUUAGCCCUUAAUAGACACACACAAACUUUAGUGUUCGCCAGAAUAUUACGGGCGAAAAGCCUAAAACUCAAAGGACUUGGCGGUACUUCAUACACGACUUAGAGGAGCCUGUCCUAUAAUCGAUAACCCACGAUAAACCUCACCACUUUUUGUCAAAUCAGCCUAUAUACCGCCGUCAUCAACCUACCUUGUGAAAGAGAUGUAGUAGGUAAAAUAGCCUAAUCACACAAACAUCAGGUCAAGGUGUAGCUAAUAAAGUGGCAGAGAUGGGCUACAUUUUUUAAACAAAACAUACGACAAAGUACUUUGAAAAAGGCACUAGAAGGAGGAUUUAAUAGUAAAAUAAGCAAGAAAACUUAUUUUAAACUCGCUCUGAAGUACGCACACACCGCCCGUCACCCUCCUCAAUUAACCUAAAAAUAAAUAAUAAAAACAAGAAAACAAGAUGAGGUAAGUCGUAACAUGGUAAGCGCACUGGAAAGUGUGCUUAGACAAA
rnacentral:ncRNA from 1 species